CGUCUAUAUACGUAUAGCAUAUCAAUAAGCGGAGGAAAAGAAACUAACUAGGAUUCCCUCAGUAACGGCGAGUGAAGCGGGAAGAGCUCAAAUUUGAAAUCUUCAAGGUUCUACCUUGACGAAUUGUAGUUUAAAGAAGUGUUUUCUGUUGGAGUUUUGGUAAAAGUUCUUUGGAAUAGGACAUCAUAGAGGGUGAGAAUCCCGUAUUUGACCAUUAUUUCCAACUUUGUGAUACACUUUCAAAGAGUCGGAUUGUUUGGGAAUGCAGUCCAAAAUGGGUGGUAAAUUUCAUCUAAAGCUAAAUACUGGCGGGAGACCGAUAGCGAACAAGUACCGUGAGGGAAAGAUGAAAAGAACUUUGAAAAGAGAGUUAAACAGUACGUGAAAUUGUCAAAAGGGAAGCGUUUGACACCAGUGUUGUUUUCUCGAAAAUCAAUUAAAAAUGGCGGGAUUUUGUGUUGUAUUGACUUUAUCAGCUUUCUGCACUUUUUUCCUGUCUUUUUUAAUGCACUUUUCGUUUAACAAGUCAACAUCAAUUUCUUUUGUUGUAAAAGGGUCAUUGGAAGGUGGCUUUCUUUUCGGAGAAAGUGUUUAUAGCCUUUGGACUUCUGCAAUCGGAGAGAUUGAGGUCUGCAGCGUAGAUCCUUCGGGGUUAGAUGCAUUUGUGCUAAGCUAUAGCCUUUCAUAGACAACUUGUUGACUAUGAUCAGUCAUGUAGCUUACUCGCUUAUGUCAUUUUACCUACGCUUAGGAUGUUGACGAUCAGCUGAGCGCG
rnacentral:rRNA from 1 species